rnacentral:rRNA from 1 species
UACAGAGGGGGCAAGCGUUAUUCGGAAUUAUUGGGCGUAAAGGGCGCGUAGGCGGCGUCUCAAGUGGAUGGUGAAAUCCCCGGGCUUAACCUGGGAACUGCCGUCCAAACUGAGAGGCUUGAGUCCGGGAGAGGUAAGUGGAAUUCCCAGUGUAGCGGUGAAAUGCGUAGAUAUUGGGAGGAACACCAGUGGCGAAGGCGGCUUACUGGACCGGAACUGACGCUGAGACGCGAAAGCGUGGGGAGCAAACAGG